rnacentral:lncRNA from 1 species
GUUUGCCUGUAUCUUUCUCACCAGGUAAGAGUACAUAGAAUACAUGUAACUUACUACUUCCCUGGUUGAAUUAGCAGAUCUAUCCUUAACAUAGUGGGUCAACAUGACGUUUGUAGAAUAUCAAGAUGGUCAAGGUUCUUUUGAACAUUAUAACAGAGAGCAGGAGAGUUAACAGACCUGUGACAAAAACAAUUAAAAGUUUAAGAACUGAGUGGUGGAAGUAGGAUAGUCCUUAUCAACAUCUUUCUCCCUGACCUACAGAUAAAUAUAUGUUCCUGUCACCACACACUUAGACCGAAGUAAGUCCUGAAGCAGGAAAUCAGUGAGUUUCACAGCUUUCUGAGCCACUACGCAACCCAGGAAGCCCAGAUGGCCCCUCCUUUCAGUAUCAUCAAUCAGAGCUUAAGGAGGGCAAGAUACUUGAAGUCUAACUCACCAAGAGGAUGAAGUUCUCAUCAUUCCAUCUGACGAACAAGCGAGAACUAGCCAAGUGCUGGCCAAAGCUGCAGUGACUGACUCUCAUCUCUGAACACGAGGAGCGGUCUCGGAGUAGUCAUGGACCCAGAAAUGGGUCUCAGGCAAGGCCACUGUUGUGCCCUCCUAAGCAUGAGCUGUAGCAACGUCAGCAUCCAGUCCAACUGGGCUAAACUCGGGUCCAGCUGGGAACUUCUGUGCCCCUAGGGGCCCAGAUCUGGUGAAUUAUUUUUCUACAAAGAUUUUUAUUAAUAAGAGACUGGAGAUACUACAUAGAUGCGUCUUUCUCUUCUUCCCUCAAGGAACUGAUCUGCUAUCUGUGGUUCUGAGUAAACUCAUAGACAUAUCACACGACAGAGAAAUCCUAUUUGUUUUCUUUGAAACUAUGCUCAGUUUAAUAAAACCCUACCUUUUAUUUUCUGUCCUUUUUUCAUAUUCUUGCUUUUGUC